rnacentral:rRNA from 1 species
AUUGAACGCUGGCGGCGUGCUUAACACAUGCAAGUCGAGCGGAGCGGCGAACGGGUGAGUAACGCGUGAGUAACUGCCCCCCUCUCUGGGAUAACAGUUGGACACGGCUGCUAAUACCGGAUAGUGGGGGAUGACUCGCGUCCUAUCCGCUUGUUGGUGGGGUAGGGGCCUACCAAGGCGCCGACGGGGCGCCGGCCUGCGAGGGCGACCGGCCACAUUGGGCUGAGAUACGGCCCAAAAGCCGACGGGAGGCAGCAGGGGGGAAUAUUGCACAAUGGGGGAAACCCUGAUGCAGCAACGCGCGUGCGGGAUGACGGCCUUCGGGUUGUAAACCGCUUUCAGCCAUGACGCGGUAGUGGCAGAAGAAGCACCGGCUAACUACGUGCCAGCAGCCGCGGUAAUUC